rnacentral:rRNA from 1 species
UACAGAGGUCCCAAGCGUUGUCCGGAUUCACUGGGCGUAAAGGGUGCGUAGGCGGUCGGGUAAGUCUGAUGUGAAAUCUCACAGCUUAACUGUGAAACUGCAUUGGAUACUAUCCGGCUAGAGGAAUGGAGGGGAGACUGGAAUACUUGGUGUAGCAGUGAAAUGCGUAGAUAUCAAGUGGAACACCAGUGGCGAAGGCGAGUCUCUGGACAUUUCCUGACGCUGAGGCACGAAAGCCAGGGGAGCAAACGGG